GUGCCAGCAGCCGCGGUAAUACGGAGGGUGCGAACGUUAAUCGGAAUCACUGGGCGUAAAGCGCGCGUAGGCGGUCUGUUAAGUGGGAUGUGAAAUCCCCGGGCUUAACCUGGGAAUUGCAUUUCAAACUGGCCGACUAGAGUACGGUAGAGGGAGGUAGAAUUUCCUGUGUAGCGGUGAAAUGCGUAGAUAUAGGAAGGAAUACCAGUGGCGAAGGCGGCCUCCUGGAUCGAUACUGACGCUGAGGCGCGAAAGCGUGGGGAGCAAACAGGAUUAGAUACCCUGGUAGUCC
rnacentral:rRNA from 1 species